UUCUGGAUUUUUUUCUAAUUUUGCAGGUUUUCAUACAUGAAAUGCAUUUUCAUAAGUUCUUUGUUUGAAACCGGUAUGCGGAAAACAAAAUGGGGUAUUACAAAUGCCGCGAUGUGAUAUUUUUUGAUUUUUUAGAAAUUUGAGCUGCCACUGAGGAAAUCUGACCUAAAGUCAGAUAUGUAUUUUUUUCUAUUCUUGUUUACAUAAAAUUGCUCUUUUGGUUACUUGAAUUUACACAGUACACACAGUCUGAAUAGUGAAAUAUGUGUAAUCAUAAUCUGUGCAAGAAAAAUCAGUUCAAGGGCUUAAAAAUUGGACAGAUUAGGCCUGAAAUUGGCAUAUUUUAAUUGAUUUUGAAGGAAAACAGGCAGAUUUUCACACACUAGACUUGCAUAUUGGUUUCCUUAAUGCUUAAUUGAGCAUAAAUCAUCAUAUCUGAGGUCCUGAAUUGUAUAUUUACUUAUUCUGUUGGAUUUCUUACACUUUUAGUACCUAAAAACCUGAAAUGAGAGCGCUGGGAAACAAUGUGAAGUUUGUCGCAUAGACGGGGAUUGACCGCCUUUGUACAUAUAUGUCUACAGCUUCUCAGAUUUGACCGAAGACAGUUGUUCGGUGUUGUGAAUGCAUGUUGUUCGGCCGAAGGCCUUCCAGUCACACAGAAGAUCCUGGUUCGGUCACACGAAGGGUCACUUCCAUUGAUAUUAGUCACAGAAAAAAUUAGGAGCACCAGUUGUAGUUUCUCAGGUUGAUAUUUAUUAAGGUUUUUGCUGAAAUUUAGCCAGUUUGGAACAUUAAGCAGGCAGUGAUGUACAUUAAAAUCAUUCUUUAUAGAGAUAGGGGCUGUUUUGCCAGAAUGCUCAGCUGUGAUACACAGUGUAAGAUUUUGUGCAGUGUAAAUGGUCAUGGUGUGCAUGUUUCAUUUACAGAGUGCACUGAAUGCCUGUAAACUGUAAGAUUUGAGUGAAAUAUUCAUUCCAGAAAGACUCAUAAGCUUUUUAGUAAGCUCACAUAUUGGAUUUUUCAGAGCUGUUUGCCUCAUUUUACCUAGGGUAGCCAUAAAUGAAUGAUCACUGAAAAGUAUAUGACACAUAUAUGUACAAAAGCUAUUCAUUCUCAUAUUUGCCACAUACUGGGCUGCUUAAAAAGGGCAAAUUUGACAGCUACAGGAUUUUUCUUAGUUCACAUUUUACUUUUUCGUGUGAGCAGACUCCGCGUUUUGACGUGCUUUUUGUAAUAUGAAUAGUUUUCCUUAAAAUUGGAACAGUGAUAUUGUAAUCAGACUUGAAGUGGCUCUUAAUUUGGAUAGAUGUAUAUUAAGGAAA